GCGAAAGAGCUGCGAGCAGACAGAGGCUCUUUCUUAUAGAGUUUAGCCCAGGAAAAAGACUCAGAAACAGAGCGACUCGACUCCUCCUCUCCCUCUCACUCUCUCUUACACACACACAGGCUCCAGGUACAGCAGUGAGUGUGUCCUGCGUGACAUCCAUGCUGAACAGCAGAUUGCGUGGCUGAAACCAGGGUUAUGUGAUGCCCGCAGAGACGUCUGGACUGACCCUGAUCAGAGCCGAAAUGCCCUCAUUCCAUCACAUCUGCGAGAGUCAGCGCAGCAGAGACUAAAAUAGAGUUGGAUUCUCCAGAGGGUCUGAAGCUGAGAGGAAUCCACCCAGCAUAAACACGACCCACCAUCCUCAAUCCUCACCAGAUAUCAAUCGUCAGAAGUCCAAGAGAAACGGUUUACGAGCGAUGCUUUGUUGUCAGAGCCCAAAGGCAAGGCGUUUCAUGAGAUGAACACUGUAGUUUGGGAUUAAAGCAAUAACCGUGCGUACAUGAGGAUCCAUCAUACUACAACCAACUUGUGUGAUAUUUCUUCAAGAUGGGACCUUCUGUGAUGUCAGGAAACAUUCAACAGGCCUGAAUUACACUUAAACCGGACACUUUCUUGAUCCUCAGAUAAUAAUCUAUGCUAAUUACUGCUUUAAUCAGAUCUACGGUGGCUUUACAUCUUAGAACGCAUUGGAUUUGAUCUGGGAAGAACUCCCGCUCAACCAUGAAGGAGGCGAUCCUGCAGUUUCUGAAUGAUGUAUGGAGCGUGGCUUCGGUCAAGCAUGAGCAGGGUGUCUACAACACGGUUUGUCUUGUUGUUCUUCUGACUCUGCCGCUGGUUGUGCUCUUCACAUCCGUGCUGGUCUGCUGUCACUGUUGUUGCUGUCGUAAUGCUGGAGGAUGCCGCUGCUGUGGACAGAAGGGUGAGACCUCGGUCACAAAUGU
rnacentral:lncRNA from 1 species